GAUGAAGCUAGCAACCUUUCAAACAAAUCGACGACGGCGUAGAAGCGUUGAAGUGGAUUGAUCGCUGCAGAUGAGAGCAAGAACCAGCAAGAACAAUGGAAGAACAAGCAAGAACAAAGGAGCUCGAGCUCGGGCAGAGAGGAAGAAGAGGGAAAAGGAGCUUGAAUUUAUAGGGGGAGGGUUUAAUCCCGGUUGGUAACACAAACCGGGUCUAAAUGAUCCGUGCCACAAACUGGGACAAAAGCUUUAGUCCCGGUUAGUGGCACAAACCGAGACUAGCGAUCGGGAUUUAGUCCGAGUUGGUGACACCAACCGGGACUAAAGGUCCCUCCCGACAGUGUCUGACAAUAGAGUUGUUAGGGAGGGACCUUUAAUCCCUGUUGGUGUUACCAACCGGAGCUAAAGAUCCUUUUUGUCCCAGACGCCAAAAAUGCCGAGACUAAAGGCAUUUGGGCACAUCGAUGAAAGGCCUGUUCUAGUGAAUACCAGCCGGGACUAAAGGGUUCCUAGUUUUUUCUUUUUCUUUUCUUUUCUUUUCUGUUCUGAUUUUAGUUUUGUUUAUUUAUUUAAUAGGUUUUCCAAUAUGUAUUCUUUGCUGCUAAUAUAUAUAUAUAUAUAAGUGCUAUUCUACACCCUAGGUGUAGAAUACUAUUCUACACUAAACUGUUGUACUGAGCAAAAUUCAGUAUCGCUCAGUAUUCGUCUUUUAGUAUUGUUCAGUAUUUCGUGGUCCUGAAUGUUGGACAAGUUAAUAUUGAACACUCUCCAGUACUGCUCAGUAUUUUUUCUACUCAGUUUUGACUUGUGGUGUAGAAUAAUAUUCUACACCUAGAGUGUAGAAUAGCGCUACCGUAUAUAUAUAUAUAUAGGGAAACUCCUUUCUACACGUACGUGUAGUUACUCCCACCAAUCGAGUCACGAAGAGAGGUGUAAUCUUAUCGGAUCACAAUGUACAGAUCGCUACCCGUUAGGAGUAUGUAAUUAAUUAUUAAUUUAUUUAUUUUAGAUAUGGUCAUCAUCCACGGAUCCACCCCGCCGCCCCCUCAUCAGGCCAUUAGUAGAUCCGAAAUUAGCGGCUUCCACCGCUUAUAUUUUGCUCGUCCAUCGAAAGUGAUCCGAAAUUUUCUAGUUCAAAAGUAGCGGAGGCUUAGCCUCUCAGGUUUCCCGUGCGCCGCCGCCAUCCCUGCCGUUUUCCUCUGCUGUCGCCGGUGGCCAUGCUGUGCUGGUAGCGCCGGGAUCUGCUGCGCGUCCGUGCACCUCGCAGCCAUGCUCGUCACCUAUUUCCGAGCGGUCCGGUGCGUUGCCGACGUACUCGUCCAGUUCUCGAGCCUCCAGCCCUGCACCAUGCCGCCUGGUUUGUAGAGCUGACGCUGCCGCUGCCGCUGCCCACCGACCACGACGAAGGCGACGAGCUCAAGUUGCAGCGGAGCAUCUCCGCAUCCGGCUCCCCAUCCCUGCACACUGACUCUGGGCUGCGACCACUCCCUCUCCGACGCAUGCCUUAGACUCCGACCCCCCCGAUCUGUGGGACGACGCUACCUGCCUCCGUCCAUGCGUGCCGCAGGUUCUGUUUUCCAGCAGCCGGCCGCCGGGUUUGUCUUCCCCUUCCGUGCUAGCGUCAUCGACGACCUCAAAUCCAUGUGGCCUGCCCAUGGCCCUCGGCCAUCUGUUCCAGUUCCAGAUCGUCAUACUUCCCGUUAUACAUGUGUAUGUUAUCAUAUUGUCCAUAGAAUUUGAAAAUAUACAUACGCUUUACGCAUAAACGUGUAUGUACUCAUACUAAUGUGUAGAAUAAUAUAUGUACCAAUAUACUCCUUAUAAGGUCUCACAUUAUGUAACAGACAUGUUGUAUAUCUGCUUUUAUACAUAUAUACUUACUUCUAAAAAGUAUGUAUAUAUACUCCCAUCUAAAAAGUAUGUAUGUAUAUAUUCUUGUCAAAAAAGUCUGUGUAUAUACACUCCCAUUC
rnacentral:lncRNA from 1 species